rnacentral:lncRNA from 1 species
UGGAAAAGUGCCUCUUAGGCUCUCAUUAGAUCUGGACACACCUUUUAACCAGUAUUCUGAGUUGGCGUAGGGCCGAUCGUGCAUGCUGGUGGCGAAGCCCAUUCUUGGUCUGGUUCUUCUGAGGCUCCAGCCAGAAUAUGUCUCAUUUAGUGGCUCAGUGAAGGGGUUGGAAGUCAGAGGCUCUGGAUGAAAGCUAGCUGCCUUCCUCAGGACUGGUACCGGGGCCACGUGUCAUGAGAUUGUGUGUGAUAUAAGAUGUGCGAAGGUUCUGUUAGGAUCUGUCCAAAUACCAGGCACAGUUAGGAUUUUUUCUUAUUAAUGCACAUGAGAUUGUAAGACCACACUUUCUUUUAAAUCACAGUGUAGCUCUGAUGAACAGCUCAGUAGGCAGGGUUUUUUGAAAAACAAACUUUCUUCCACUCGGAGCUCAUGGACAUGGAGCAAGGGACCUGGAGCUGAGAAGUGGAGCUCUGGUCCUAGGGCCACCUCUCUGGGUUCCCAAAGUCCCCUUGGAAUGCUGUAACCCCGCAUUGUUCUAGAAUCAUUGCUUUUCAUGUCCUUCUCCCCACCCCUAGACAGUCAGCCCUUUGAAGGCAAGGACUAUGUCCUAUUCCACCUUGAAUUCUCAUCACCAAGCGGAACGCCUGACACCUAAUCUAGUCAGUGCUUACUAAGUGCUCAUUAUCAAUGCAAGAAUAACAGAGCUAUGGAACCUGGCAGCCACCUCUUUUCUUUGGGCCUCAGUCUUCUCAUGCAGAACUUGGGAUUGGACUAAAUUGGAUCUCCUAGGCUGCCUCUGACUCUAACAAUUCUCUGAUUUAAAUUAUUCUUCAUCUGGAUGUAAUCCACCUUGCUUUUCCAUCCCAGGCUCUGUUCUCACUCAUGGCUGAUGGGCAAAGGCGACUAAGGAGGCACGGCUCCGUGAGGAUGUCCUUACAACUUUGCAACCCCCAAGGAAAAAGAGGUUGUUUUCCCAAUAUCUACUGUAAAACCUAAGAGGAAAAUUUCACGUUGCUGCAGCUUGGAUCAUGCAUUUAUCAUUUGGACCACCUCUGAGGACAGGGAGUUGCAAUGUGGAUUUUAUGGAAUAGAUGCUAUGUGGUGGAAUCCUGAGUCACGGCCAAACAGCAAAUGCCAGCAAGAGUAGAGUAGGAGGCAUUUCUGUGUACACUUUGGGAAAAAGUCCAUUCCUCACUUGGUUUCAUUUCUGGCCUGAGCCGCUGUGUCCUCCACCUGAAGCCCUGACCUCUCCGUUACUGACUGGAUCCCAAUGUGCCACAGUUCACCUGCAUAAGGAGGGGGUCGAAGACAAGAAAACUGUGAGAGGCUAAGUAAUUUGCUGAGCUCAUAUGACAUCUAAAUGGCAGAGCUCAGAAACCUCAGGGAUUAGAGUGAAGUAGAAUAGAGGAAGUUAACCUUUCCAGUGCUACCUGCGGGCUGAGAAUGACGCACACAGCUUUUUUGAUACCCGGAAGUGAGACAAACUCAUAAGAUGGGGUGAGGAAAUGAGACAUCAAAAGAUUAAGUGACUUGCUAAAAUUUACACUGCCUACGAAAGCUGACCUGGAAUGUGAACCAGAAAUUGUCCUUAACCAAAUCACCUCACUGUCUCUCAAGAGAUGGGGUCUCACUACAUUGCCCAGGCUGGCUCUCAAAU